AUUGAACGCUGGCGGCAGGCCUAACACAUGCAAGUCGAACGAGUGGCGGACGGGCGAGUAAUGUCUGGGAACCUGCCUGAUGGAGGGGGAUAACUACUGGAAACGGUAGCUAAUACCGCAUACUAUCGGAUGUGCCCAGAUGGGAUUAGCUAGUAGGUGGGGUAAAGGUUAACCUAGGCGACGAUCCCUAGCUGGUCUGAGAGGAUGACCAGGCACACUGGAACUGAGACGAGGUCCAGACUCCUAAGGGAGGCAGCAGAGGGGAAUAUUGCACAAUGGGCGCAAGCCUGGUGCAGCCAUGCCGCGUGUAUGGAGGAGGGCUUGGGGUUUUGAAGUUCUUUCAGCUGUGAGGCGUUACCCGCAGAAGAAGCACCGGCUAACUCCGUGCCAGCAGCCGCGGUAAUAC
rnacentral:rRNA from 1 species